rnacentral:tmRNA from 1 species
GGGGACGACUGGUUUUGACAGCAAGACGAGUGAAAAUGUAAGCAUACCGAGGAGUGAAAUGAUAACUCGCUAAACUUAUUUCAAACAUUUAAACGGCGAAGAUAACUACGCUUUAGCUGCUUAAUCUGAAUUUAUAGUAAGAUAAAGCCUCGGCGCACUAGGUGCGCAAGCUGAAUGUCCACGAAAAGCCUUGGUUUACGGCGUUUCAUUUAUGGGCAUCGUAAAAGUAGACAUAGAAAACUUAGUGCUUCGAUGGGUUUUCGAAAUUAAAGAAGCUAAGUUAAAAUUGGGCUGUUUUUGGUCAGGUUUUAAUCGAAAAUUAAUCAAAAACUAAGUAUGUAGAAAGCCUUUGAGCUGCUUGUUUGGACCCGAGUUCGAUUCUCGGCGUCUCCACUA